UUUUUUUUUUUUUUUUUUUUUUUUUUUUCAUUUUAAGAUAGGGAGAGGAAACCUGAGAAAAGAUACCAACUCUCUCCAUGUCAUUCUCUGACGAAGUAGUGCAGCUAGCUUUCAAACUCAAACCAAAUUUAUGCUCUAGAUGAUAAACAAAAUGAUCUCUCCCAUCUCUAUUCGGUAUAUAACAAAAAAUCCUGUUUUGGAGUAUAUAAAAUUAAAGGUAUAUUUUAUCAUAGUGCUAAUAAGCCUGUGCUCCUCUACUCACAAGCUGCUGGAGAUGCCCGAAAACCACCACCAUGACAGGUGAGGUAGGACCCCCUCAGGCUAUCUCAAGGAGUAUUUGGCCCUAGUCAUUCAAAAGCCAUGGAAAAUUCUGACCAAUCCCUGAGAAUGUUCACACAAUGCAGAAACCGUAAUCCUACACAGUGUUGUAAGGCCUUGCUUCUGGACUGCAGCUAAACCAGUUCAUAAGGUCAAGAUCAGGACCAAACAUAUGCUAUCUCUCUUCCCUGUUUAUUAUGAGUCACUGCCCAGAGUCCAAACUUCUCAGAUCAUUCAAUCAUUUCCUCAAGUCUCAUUUCCACAAUGCUGUCAACAUAUUUUCUCCUAACCCAAUUUUUCAUUCUAACAUUCCUUCCUAAACCUUUUAUAUUUACCACUGAUAUUCUUCUAAAUUGUUAUUUAUGAUUACUUUAACUGAAACCUAGGCAUUCUCAGAAAACAAAAUUUCCUCCUUAUCUUUCUCAGGCAAGGGGUUUUGUUUGUUUCCCUCCCACACCCUCAUAUUGUUUAAGUGUUGGGCUACGAAGUGAAAUUAGUGUCCUCUAGGUUUUUAUCAGGAAACAUCCAAAUCCAAAGUUCUAGAACUUUGUCUUUUGUAUCAGCCAGCUUCACCACUCUCCCUUAACUCCAAACUCCAAUCCAUGUGCACAUCUUCAUUGUGCACAAUCUCCAUCUUCACCCUAGCUGCUGUAAUCAUCCAAAUGAAUUCAAUAGCCACAUAGAUGAACCACCCAACAAUCUUGACUGUGUUCAUUGAACCUCUAAGAUCUCCUCCAUUUCACCUAGGUCACCUACUCCCUUAGUGACAACUUGAGCUCCGCCAUCUCAAGAAACUCAAAUUACUCCCAAAAUACCCAUUGCAGAUAUCCCACUCUGACCAAAACAUUCCAUUCUUCCAGUCACUUGCCAACCACUCCUUCUCUCCCCUGAAGCAGUUGUUCGUCUAACUCUGAGAUCAUCAACCCAAUAACCCUACUAUUUUGACCAUGGGUGGCAGCCUUUCUGUCUUAAUGGUCUUUCACUGUACCUCUUCAGUCUGAAACAUACUCACGUCUGCUACUCUGUUACAGAUACAGCUAAUUCCACUGUCCUUCUCACUGUCAUCAGCCCCAAAUAAGAAAAUCACAUCUCCAGAUGAAUCUCGCCAUAAACCUUCUCCUAAAAAAGCUUUCUGCAAAUGUUUCUUUAGUUCUUCACUUUCACCUCAUUCUUCAGUUUAGUCUGGCUUCUGGCCCUACCACUUGAAAAAAGUGCUCUUGUAAAAGAAACUAAUCCCACCAACUGUCUAAAUCACAGAGAAACUUAUUUCAAUUUUCUAGGAUUCAACAAGCUGACCACCAACAAACUUCUGGUUCUUACAACACCCCCUUUUCUUUUCUUUCUUAACAGGACAUUCUCCUAGUUUUCCUCUCGUUUCUCAUACAGCCCCGUCUAGUGGCACUCGUUCACUCCUUCUCUGCUGAAGACCUUUAACUGUCAGAAUUUUGUAGGCUCAGAUCUAAGUUAUGUACAUAUUUGAACAUAUCCUCAUUCGUUAAGUGUUUAUAUCUCUUCCUAUUGUUUUUUAAAGAUUUUAUUUAUUUGAGAGAGAGAGAGCAUGAGUGAGAGGAGGGAUGGAGGGAGAGGGAAAAGCAGAUUCCUGCAGAGCUGGGAGUCUGACACCAGGGCUUCGUCCCAGGACCCCAGAUCACGACCUGAGCUGAAAGCAAACACUUAACCACGUAAGCCACCCAGGCGUCCCAUCUCCUCCAGUUUUUUUUUUUUAAUCAUGAAUAUAAAGCAUAUUUAUAUCGUGACCUCUCUUCUAAGCCUUACCUAUAGCCCAAGGCCUAAAUGAUAUGCUAUUUGGAUAUUUCACAAUUCAAUUGUUUACUUAUUUAAUUAAUUUAACAAUUCGCCUCAAUCUGCCUGUCACUGUUAGGUAAUGAAAAGGCAAUCAGCUCAUGCAUGAUCAAUAGCAUUUCAUGUUACAAAUUCGAAAUUUAAAAACUACAUCAAUGAAAUAUUCUUAGUAUUGGCUUUAUUUCCCUGAAUCACCACCAGGCUCCCUGUAGAGUUCUUCAAUGUACACUCCACUUUGUUCUUCUGAAAAAAUUCUGUUUUUCAUUAUUUUCAAAUGUAAUUGACCUCCUUUCAAGUGCAUAUUGCUAGCUCUCCCUUUCAAAGAGACUUUGGAAGUUUGUUUACUUGUGAGGACAGGGUUCUUUUCCUCCUAUGAAUUAUAAAGCAAUUCUUGAAAGCCUGGGGGUGGUACGGGUAGUGAACUUGGGUUGCACUAACAUAUGAAUGAGAACCUGUAAAGUAAACUUGAUGUGUAAAUAACUCAGGUAUGGUAGUUUCCCUUUAUCUACCUGGUAGUUAUGUGCCUAAUUUCUUUGUGCAUGCAGUCCUUGAGUAAGCAGUGCCGGCCAUACUUUCAAGUUUGGAAUCUGUGGUCCUAUUUUUUUUCUUUAGGAAUUGAGUAUACAUUUUCCUUUAGGAAUUGAGCAUACAGGGAUGCCUGGGUGGCUCAGCGGUUUAGCCUCUGCCUUAGGCCCAAGGUGUGAUCCUGGAGUCCCAGAUCGGGCUCCUUGCAUGGAGCCUGCUUCUCCCUCUGC
rnacentral:lncRNA from 1 species